rnacentral:rRNA from 1 species
GAUGAACGCUGACAGAAUGCUUAACACAUGCAAGUCAUUGGCGAAGCUGCGCUUGCGCAGUCUAGCCAAGGCGGACGGGUGAGUAACGCGUAAGGAACUUGCCCUGCAGACAGGGAUAACAGACGGAAACGACUGAUAACACCUGGUAUUGUCAGGCUGGCGCAUGCCGGCCUGAUGAAAGGAGACGCUGCAGGAGAGCCUUGCGUCCUAUUAGCUAGUUGGUGGGGUAACGGCCCACCAAGGCGAUGAUAGGUAGCCGGCCUGAGAGGGUGAACGGCCACAAGGGAACUGAGAUACGGCCCUUACUCCUACGGGAGGCAGCAGUGGGGAAUAUUGGACAAUGGGGGCAACCCUGAUCCAGCAAUUCUGUGUGCACGAAGAAGGUUUUCGGAUUGUAAAGUGCUUUCAGCAGGGAAGAAGAAAGUGACGGUACCUGCAGAAGAAGCGACGGCUAAAUACGUG